rnacentral:misc_RNA from 1 species
GAUGAAGAACGCAGCGAAAUGCGAUACGUAAUGUGAAUUGCAGAAUUCAGUGAAUCAUCGAAUCUUUGAACGCAUAUUGCGCUCUCUGGUAUUCCGGAGAGCAUGCUUGUUUGAGUAUCAGUAAACACCUCAACUUCCAUAUCUUUUUUUGAAAUGGGAGUUGGACUGAGUGAUCCCAACGCUUUUCCUCACCGAAAAGUGGCGGGUUACUUGAAAUGCAGGUGCAGCUGGACUUUUCUCUGAGCUAUAAGCAUAUCUAUUUAGUCUGCCUAAAAAACAGAUUAUUACCUUUGCUGCAGCUAACAUAAAGGAGAUUAGUUCUUGUGCUGACUGAUGCAGGAUUCACAAAGACAGCUUCGGCCGACUUUGUAAACUCGAUCUCAAAUCAAGUAAGACUACCCGCUGAACUUAAGCAUAUCAAUAAGCGGAGGA